rnacentral:misc_RNA from 1 species
AAGUCGUAACAAGGUUUCCGUAGGUGAACCUGCGGAAGGAUCAUUAUUGAAUAAACCUGGCAUUUGGUUCUGCAGCUGGCUCUUCUUGGGCAUGUGCUCGCCAUUGUCAUCUUUAUCUCUCCACCUUGUGCACCUCUUGUAGACCUGGACGGAUAAAACUUUCUACUUUCUUCUCAGAGGGCAACCUCUGGUCCUGAGGAUGUGCAUCUCCUUUGUUGGGGUGCUCUCCUUGUUUAAAAGAAAAAAAAAGUUGUCCAGGCCUAUGUCUACACACACACCCAUUGAAUGUAACAGAAUGUAUCUAUGGGCCUUUGUGCCUAUAAAAACUUAUACAACUUUCAGCAACGGAUCUCUUGGCUCUC